rnacentral:lncRNA from 1 species
CUCUGUCUUUCCCCCACCCCCUCUAGGUUUCCUUUUCUAACCUUUUUGUCUCACCAGGAAAUAGAACCACUUUGUAAAAGAACUGAUUCAAGUGGUGGCGAUGUGGGGAAGAGGAGGGAGUAAGGCCCGCGGUGACAGCAUUAAAAGCUGGGAGCCCUGGGGAUCGCCCCCGCCUGGCCCUCCAGCAACAGGAGUUCUCCCGACUGUGGCCUUUUCCCGUGUCCGGGGUCCACAGCUCUUUGCCUGCUAACCCUGGAGGGUUCUAAGCCGAUGCGCCCAUGCUGGGGGUGGGACUUUCUCCGAGUAACAUGCUUGGGUUUCCAUGCUUUGAAACCUGGAGGUGACACUGAAGUAGGAGCCUGGGCACCUUGGCAGAGGGAGCUAAUCAGAGGACAGGGGAAUCUGACACCAUCCUCAGAAGGCUGCCCCUCCAACAUGUUACCAGAAGAGUAUUUUCCUAAGCAACCUGCCUGGCACUACAACUCAGGGUCACUUUCAUCCACGAUUAGAAUCCUAUGAUGAAAGUCAGAAUGCAUCUGCGAUUAAGGCACGGGCUCUGGAGACAUAUCUGGAUUUGCUUUAUCUGCAGGUUGCUCCUUGCCUGUCUGUUAGCUCGUUUGUAAAAUGCUACCUCCUAAUGCCAUUGUGAUGAUUAAAUGAUCCAGUGUGUCACUGUCAGCCCCAUGCCUAACACACAGUAAGUCUCAGGUGCGGUAGUGGAGAAGAGGAUGGGCUCUAGAGCCAAGAAUGGGUUUGGAUCCUGGCUCUGCCACUUACAAGUUGUAUAACCCUGGCGUCAGUUUUGCCCUUUGAUGUAAGUCAUCGUCUCUGGACAUGAGAACGGGAGGCCUCACUUCCACAUCCUCCUCCAAAUGAAUGCACUCUAAACAAACAUUGAUGCGCCUCUCAAGGUUGGCAUUGCAUCUGGACCAGUGCCAGGAAGCCACAAGGCCACCAGAGGCAGAGGGGAAGAGCAAGGGCGGAAGAAUAGAAGUCAAGCAGCAGCAGAUGGAAUGUGUGCACGGUCAGGUGGAGGCAAGCUGCUCCUGACUGGUGCAAGAACUGACUGUGUGUGUACUUUGCUUCUCAGUGCUGUGCACAGACACGUGCAGCAAGAACCAUCUCAGAGGGUCACAAGCCCCCUAGAUUUUACCCACAGAAGAUGGUAGAAAAAAGAACCUGUGAUGAAUGAAGAAAGCUGGGGAAAAUGAGGGAAGGCAGGAGGAACCUGCCAGAAACAGGCCAAGUCCCACCAACAUGGAAAUCAGAUCACAAAUGAUUUAGCUGUAAAACAGGUAUCCCAAGUUAUGCCAUGUAAUUCCCAAUUCCAUUCUUUCCUUUCCUUCUCCCUUUCCCUCUUAAGUAUCUGUGGAUAGAAACAGGAUGUUAUGUUUUACUUUCUCCUGCAAUGUAGGAAGAUAUUUAUUCUCUAGUUCAUAUCCAAUUAUUUGCAGGCCAGAAAUUCUUUCUCUAAUAAUAUUAAAAUAUGUACCUGUUCCAAAGACACUGCAAUUAAUAAAGUUGUUUCCCUCAACCCAGAGGAAAUGCA